UGACUAAGGGUUCCUGGGUCAAGCUGAUCUGCCCAGGGUAAGUCGGGACCUAAGGCGAGGCCGACAGGCGUAGUCGAUGGAUAACCGGUUGAUAUUCCGGUACCCGCUGUGAAGCGACCCACAUCGAAUCCAGUGAUGCUAAGCCCGUGAAGCCGCCGGCGGAUUCUUCGGAUGAAGUCGGAGUGGUGGAGCCGGUGGCCCGAGCUGGUAGUAGGUGAGUGAUGGGGUGACGCAGGAAGGUAGUCCAACCCGGGCGGUGGUAGUCCCGGGGUAAGGGUGUAGCCCGAGGGGUAGGUAAAUCCGCCUCUUGUGAAGGGUGAGACCUGAUGCCGAGCCGAUUGUGGUGAAGUGGAUGAUCCUAUGCUGUCGAGAAAAGCCUCUAGCGAUGUUUCAUGGCGGCCCGUACCCUAAACCGACUCAGGUGGUCUGGUAGAGAAUACCGAGGCGUUCGGGUGAACUAUGGUUAAGGAACUCGGCAAAAUGCCCCCGUAACUUCGGGAGAAGGGGGGCCACGUCUGGUGAGGGGAUUUACUCUCUGAGCUGGGUGUGGCCGCAGAGACCAGCGAGAAGCGACUGUUUACUAAAAACACAGGUCCGUGCGAAGCCGUAAGGCGAUGUAUACGGACUGACGCCUGCCCGGUGCUGGAACGUUAAGGGGACCGGUUAGUCAUUCUUCGGGAUGGCGAAGCUGAGAACUUAAGCGCCAGUAAACGGCGGUGGUAACUAUAACCAUCCUAAGGUAGCGAAAUUCCUUGUCGGGUAAGUUCCGACCUGCACGAAUGGCGUAACGACUUCUUGACUGUCUCAACCAUAGGCCCGGUGAAAUUGCACUACGAGUAAAGAUGCUCGUUUCGCGCAGCAGGACGGAAAGACCCCGGGACCUUUACUAUAGCUUGAUAUUGGUGUUCGGUUCGGCUUGUGUAGGAUAGGUGGGAGACUGUGAAGCGAUCGCGCCAGCGGUUGUGGAGUCAUUGUUGAAAUACCACUCUGGUCGUGCUGGAUGUCUAACCUGGGUCCGUGAUCCGGAUCAGGGACAGUGU
rnacentral:ncRNA from 1 species